rnacentral:rRNA from 1 species
CGUAGGCGGGAUGGCAAGUCGGUCGUGAAAUCCCUCGGCUCAACUGAGGAGCGUCGGCCGAUACUGCCGUUCUUGAGGGAUGCAGAGGAGACUGGAAUUCCCGGUGUAGCGGUGAAAUGUGUAGAGAUCGGGAGGAACACCGGUGGCGAAGGCGGGUCUCUGGGCAUCUCCUGACGCUGAGGCGCGAAAGCGUGGGAGCAAACG